CACCUUCUGUACCCGUCUGGGCCUGGAGCGGUGGCCAGGCACCCAACACCACCAUGUUCAUUUCCCUCCUGGCCACCCAGGCUGGGGCCUAGCAAAGCUGCCCAGGGACAGCAGGAGUUGGAAGAAGAGGCCAGCCCCGGAUCCAGGACAGGAUGCCAGGCCUGUGCCCAGUGCAGGGACUGACCCCUCAAUCUAUGGGAGCAGGAGCCCUGCAGGGCUCUCAUGCAGCUCGCCCCUGGUGUGAACCCAAACCCCAGAAAGAAUCAACAGAUGGCUGUGGGGCCCCUGCUUCCCCAGGGGUCUCCAUGGAUUUCAGCCCAAGCUCAGAAUGAAGGUUUGAAGGCUCUGGAAGGAGAGGGAGAGAAGGAACCUUCUAGAAACAAAAGCUUCCUGCAGCACAUCGGACAGACCGCAAGCAUCGGGCUCCUUCUCUUCCUCACCUCCAGCUUGGGUUCUCUGGGCUCAGAGGGCUCCUUGGGCAGGGGAGCCCCACUGGCCCUGCUGACGUGGACACAUGCAGGCAGGCAGCGGGGCUUCCCCCUGAACUCCCGGGUGCUGUCCGUGUCAGGCUCCAACUAUACCCUAGUUCCCGUG